rnacentral:rRNA from 1 species
AUGAACGCUAGCGACAGGCCUAACACAUGCAAGUCAGGGGCAGCACAAGGAGCAAUCUGAGGUGGCGACCGGCGGCACGGGUGAGUAACACGUAUGCAACCUGCCUGUAAGCGGGGAAUAACCCGUUGAAAGACGGACUAAUACCGCAUAAUACUAAAUUACUGCAUGGUAAUUUAUUUAAACAUUUAUGGCUUACAGAUGGGCAUGCGCAUGAUUAGCUAGUUGGAGAGGUAACGGCUCCCCAAGGCAACGAUCAUUAGGGGUUCUGAGAGGAAGGUCCCCCACACUGGUACUGAGACACGGACCAGACUCCUACGGGAGGCAGCAGUGAGGAAUAUUGGUCAAUGGACGAGAGUCUGAACCAGCCAAGUCGCGUGCAGGAAGAAUGUCCCUAUGGAUUGUAAACUGCUUUUGCAGGGGAAUAAAGUGCAUCACGUGUGAUGUUUUGUAUGUACUCUGCGAAUAAGGAUCGGCUAACUCCGUGCCAGCCGCGGC